GACGAACGCUGGCGGCGUGCCUAAUACAUGCAAGUAGAACGCUGAAGGAGGAGCUUGCUCUUCUGGAUGAGUUGCGAACGGGUGAGUAACGCGUAGGUAACCUGCCUGGUAGCGGGGGAUAACUAUUGGAAACGAUAGCUAAUACCGCAUAACAGUAGAUGUUGCAUGACAUUUGCUUAAAAGGUGCAAUUGCAUCACUACCAGAUGGACCUGCGUUGUAUUAGCUAGUUGGUGGGGUAACGGCUCACCAAGGCGACGAUACAUAGCCGACCUGAGAGGGGGAUCGGCCACACUGGGACUGAGACACGGCCCAGACUCCUACGGGAGGCAGCAGUAGGGAAUCUUCGGCAAUGGACGGAAGUCUGACCGAGCAACGCCGCGUGAGUGAAGAAGGUUUUCGGAUCGUAAAGCUCUGUUGUAAGAGAAGAACGAGUGUGAGAGUGGAAAGUUCACACUGUGACGGUAUCUUACCAGAAAGGGACGGCUAACUACGUG
rnacentral:rRNA from 1 species